rnacentral:pre_miRNA from 1 species
UAGCGAGCUCCAUCGUGCACAGGUUUGAGUGUUUGUGUUUGGCUAGUCGCAUUCAGCCUUUGAACGGUAGAGAUGGCCA